rnacentral:lncRNA from 1 species
UUUUUUCCCUGGUAAUUAAUUCUCUGAUCCUCCUCUAAUUCUGUUGAUUAGGGGAAGAGCUAAUAAUCUUUUGUUAAAGAACUUGCCUUGAUAAAGAUACCCUCCGCUGUUUGUUGAUCUCUUGUGCCUUUAUCCAAGCCACAGUUGCAGUCACUAAUAACCUAUCUUUCUUGGAAGUUGGUCAUCACUUUUAGGUGUACCUCCGGGGUGUUUGGUUCCAUACUUUUAAAAAAGUGUGAUUUUGGUGGUUAUGUUAUUAAAGUGAAGGCAGGAUAGCAUAUUGGUGGCAGCUGGAAGGUUCAUUCCAUGUGGUUGUGAAUCUGUCUCCGGCAAAUGAUCUUUAUGGUAGGAGUGGUCGAUAAUUAAACUAAGGGAAGACUAUAAAUCUCAUGAUGUUCACUGGCUAACAAGAGGAGGAGGAGCGGUGGCUGGUGAAUAUUUUUGGCUUUCUGAUUAACUAGGAAGGAGCCCCCAAAAAAGCAAACCUGACUCGAUUGAUUAUGGUACGACCAGUGAGUCACCCUUGGCUGGAAAGGAUUUUCAGAGUUUGCUCUUGUGACCAUGAGAGCUAGUGAAAAGUUUGUAUGGUUGGUGAAAAAACAAAGGGUCUUUGCAUGGUGCAAUGGUGGUCCAGCAAGAAAAACCGGUGAUGUGAAAUGGUGGGUAAGCAGACCGUUUCAUCUCACGGUGGUCCUUUCAUGUAAUGUUAGAAACUGGCUAGCAUCCUAAGCUUGAGAGAUUCAAAAUCUUGAGAGACUUGUUGUACAUGUCAAAAAGGGAGCUAAAAAACAAAAGCUCCAUGACUUUAAUCUUCUAACCAAAUAUGGAGAUGGUGAGAUGGUUUUCAUUUUGUCUCGUGGCAUUGAGCUGGCCUACUAUCUUUGUCCCAGAUAUAUUAUUAAUUCUGAGAUUUGUUUUAUAGGAAAGAUGGUGGUUUCCACCAUGUGAUGUGAUGCCAGGCCAGCAAUUAUAUGUGCAAGAGCAAGAGCAAGACCGACCAUUCUUCACUAUUCUCACUACUGAUUGCGCCUUGCCGCCAGGCAACUUGAUGCUGCUAUAGGCGUUAUCAUAAGUUUGUGUAACUUUCCACCGUACUGCAGAUCCACUCGGCUGGCAAUAGCAUACGAGAAAAGGAGGUCAUGAGCUUCAAGCUUCAUGCCACCUUACUACAGCCAGUCUUUCUAGCUUGUAGUUCACUACAGACAGAAAGUACUAAAAUUUUAAUGCAGAAAAUGAUUAGAAAGGGAGAUAAUCCAACAGGCGGGUGAUUACUGGUUUACAAAUAAUCCAACUUUGAUCGGAUUUAGCUUCUACGUUUGCAAGAAAGUCAGCCACACUUAUUUCCUUCCCUCUUAAAGAAAGUGUGUUGGUGGAUUAGCACAUCCAUUCCCUGGUCAGAAAUCUUGCAAUCCUCCACAUCCCUUUGUGAGUUGAUAGAUGUUGUUACUAAGGUUCAUAACAAUGACAGAGACUCGAGAUUAGAGUCCUACCUGAACGAACACCUUCAGUUCAAGUUUGAGGUCAUCUCCGCAGUCUAUCAUGGCAAGAAAAACAGAGGAAAAACAAAAGAGAUGUGACAUCUCUCUUGUCUUUUUCUUCUUUAAGUGUACAAUUAAGAAUUCACUACUGGUAUGCAAGGCAACAAAGAUUUCUUUUCGACCAAGGAAAAAUAUGAUGAAUGCAG